GCCUGUUUAAUAAAAACAUGGCUUUUUGAUAAUAAUUUAAGGUCAGGCCUGCCCAAUGAUAAUUUAAAUGGCUGCGGUAUAUUGACCGUGCAAAGGUAGCAUAAUCAUUAGUUUUUUUAUUGGAAGCUGGAAUGAAGGGUUUGACGAGAAAGAAGCUGUCUUAAUUUAAUUAUUUGAAUUUUAUUUUUGAGUGAGAAAGCUUAAAUAGUUUUGAGGGACGAGAAGACCCUAUAGAAUUUAAUAGUUUAUGUAUUUUAGAAUUUUGGUUUAUGUUAAUUGAUGUAAAUUUAAAUUAAUUUGUUGGGGUGAUAGGAAAAUUUGAAUAACUUUUUUUUGUAUUUUUCAUUAAUAAAUGAUUAUAUGAUCCAUUAGUAGUGAUUAUAAGAAAAAAUUACCUUAGGGAUAACAGCGUUAUUAAUCUGGAGAGUUCAAAUCGAUAGAUUAGAUUGCGACCUCGAUGUUGGAUUAAAAUUGGCUUUUGGUGAAGGGACUAAUAAGCUAAGUCUGUUCGACUUUUAAAAUUUUACAUGAUCUGAGUUCAGACCGG
rnacentral:rRNA from 1 species